rnacentral:tRNA from 1 species
GCGGGAGUGGCGGAAUUGGCAGACGCGUACGUUUGAGGGGCGUAUGACGAAAGUCGUGUGGGUUCAAGUCCCACCUCCCGCA